rnacentral:rRNA from 1 species
GACGAACGCUGGCGGCGUGCCUAACACAUGCAAGUCGAGCGGGGAUGUAUGGAGGAAGUUUUCGGAUGGAAUCGAUACAUCCUAGCGGCGGACGGGUGAGUAACGCGUGAGCAACCUGCUUUUCACAGGGGGAUAACGGAUCGAAAGAUCCACUAAUACCGCAUGAGACCACGAUACCGAGGGGUAGAGGGGUCACAGGAGCAAUCCGGUGAAAGAUGGGCUCGCGUCCGAUUAGGUAGUUGGUGGGGUAAUGGCUCACCAAGACAAUGAUCGGUAGCCGACCUGAGAGGGUGAUCGGCCACACUGGAACUGAGAGACGGUCCAGAAUCCUACGGGAGGCAGCAGUGGGGAAUAUUGGGCAAUGGGGGAAACCCUGACCCAGCAACGCCGCGUGAGGGAAGAAGGUUUUCGGAUUGUAAACCUCUGUCCUUGGUGAAGAGCAGAAGACGGUAGCCAAGGAGGAAGCCCCGGCUAACUACGUGCCAGCAGCCGCAGUAA